CGAUCCGGCGUGCUUAGACGCAUAAGGACCCAAAGAACCGGCAGGAAGAACCAACCGACCCGACCCCACCGGUCCGCGUCGCUCGGUCGGGUGAACUGUGCCAACUGAGCUGGAUUAGCAGCCGGUUGGCGGGCAUAUGCUCGCCCCGACAACCGCAGACAUGAGACGGCCCCCGACGGGACUGCAAUCCCGGCCGAGGGCCUGACCAACUAGGAAGUAAGCGGCUUCCCA
rnacentral:ncRNA from 1 species